ACGCGUACGCAACCUACCUUCAAGAAGGGAAUAGCCCCGGGAAACUGGGAUUAAUGCCCUAUGUGAUUGUGAGACCACCUGGCCUUACGAUUAAAACUCCGGUGCUUGAAGAUGGGCGUGCGUGCUAUUAGGUAGUUGGUGAGGUAACGGCUCACCAAGCCGACGAUAGCUAGGGGGCGUGAGAGCGUGAUCCCCCACACGGGUACUGAGACACGGACCCGACUCCUACGGGAGGCAGCAGUAAGGAAUAUUGGACAAUGGGGGCAACCCUGAUCCAGCCAUCCCGCGUGCAGGAUGACAGCCCUAUGGGUUGUAAACUGCUUUUGUAAGAGAAGAAACCUUCUUAUUUAUAAGAAGUUGACGGUAUCUUAAGAAUAAGCACCGGCUAACUCCGUGCCAGCAGCCGCGGUAAUACGGAGGGUGCAAGCGUUAUCCGGAAUCACUGGGUUUAAAGGGUGCGUAGGUGGCUCAAUCAGUCAGAGGUGAAAUCUUGCAGCUUAACUGUAAAAUUGCCUUUGAUACUGUUGGGCUUGAAUUAGGUUGAGGUUGGCGGAAUGUGGCAUGUAGCGGUGAAAUGCAUAGAUAUGCCAUAGAACACCAAUUGCGAAGGCAGCUGACUAGACCUUAAUUGACACUGA
rnacentral:rRNA from 1 species